AUGUGGGAAGAAUGCUUGCCUCAUAUUGAAUUUGCUUAUAAUCGUUCAUUGCAUUCUACUACUAAGACGUGCCCUUUUGAAAUUGCGUAUGGUUUCCUACCUCGUGCACCUAUUGAUUUGUUGCCUCUUCCAUCUUCGGAGAAGGUUAAUUUUAAUGCUAAAGAACGUGUUGAAUUGAUUUUAAAAAUGUAUGAGUUAACUAAGGAAAACGUUGAGCGUAUGAAUGCUAAAUAUAAACUUGCUGGAGAUAAGGGUAGAAAACAUGUUGUGUUUACACCUGGAGAUCUUGUUUGGUUACAUUUGCGUAAGGAUAGAUUUCCUAAUUUGCGCAAAUCAAAUCUAAUGCCACGUGCUAAUGGUCCUUUUAAGGUGUUAGAGAAAAUAAAUGAUAAUGCAUAUAAACUUGAGCUGCCUGUAGAUUUUGGGGUUAAUCCCACUUUUAACAUUGCAGAUUUGAAGCCUUAUUUGGGUGAGGAAGAUGAGCUUCCGUCGAGGACGACUUCAUUUCAAGAAGGGGAGGAUGAUGAGGACAUCAAUACCAUUGUUACACCCACAGCCCCUGCUGCUAUACAUACUGGACCAAUCACUAGAGUUCGCGCACGCCAAUUGAAUUAUCAGGUACUUUCGUUUCUUGGUAACGAUUCUAAUGUUCAUGAGAAUAUGAUGCUGCAUAAAUUGGAUACAUUUGUUUUGCUUACAAAUGAAGGGCCUAGCUUGGACAAGAAAGAUGAACCUUGGAGCAAGUUCAAGCAUGGAGAUGAUAGCAUGCGCAAGGGGGUCAAGAACGGAGUUACAAGUGAUGAUUUCAGGACUUUGAAGCCACUGUAA
rnacentral:rRNA from 1 species